rnacentral:rRNA from 1 species
AGAGUUUGAUCCUGGCUCAGAUUGAACGCUGAUGCUUUACACUGCAAGUCGAACGGUAACAGGCCUUCGGGCGCUGACGAGUGGCGAACGGGUGAGUAAUAUAUCGGAACGUGCCCAGUCGUGGGGGAUAACGUAGCGAAAGUUACGCUAAUACCGCAUACGAUCUACGGAUGAAAGCGGGGGAUCGCAAGACCUCGCGCGAUUGGAGCGGCCGAUAUCAGAUUAGGUAGUUGGUGGGGUAAAGGCUCACCAAGCCAACGAUCUGUAGCUGGUCUGAGAGGACGACCAGCCACACUGGAACUGACGGUCCAGACUCCUACGGGAGGCAGCAGUGGGGAAUUUUGGACAAUGGACGCAAGUCUGAUCCAGCCAUUCCGCGUGCAGGAUGAAGGCCCUCGGGUUGUAAACUGCUUUUGUACGGAACGAAAAGGUUUCCAUUAAUACUGGGAGCUCAUGACGGUACCGUAAGAAUAAGCACCGGCUAACUACGUGCCAGCAGCCGCGGUAAUACGUAGGGUGCAAGCGUUAAUCGGAAUUACUGGGCGUAAAGCGUGCGCAGGCGGUUGUGUAAGACAGGCGUGAAAUCCCCGGGCUCAACCUGGGAAUGGCGCUUGUGACUGCACAGCUGGAGUGCGGCAGAGGGGGAUGGAAUUCCGCGUGUAGCAGUGAAAUGCGUAGAUAUGCGGAGGAACACCGAUGGCGAAGGCAAUCCCCUGGGCCUGCACUGACGCUCAUGCACGAAAGCGUGGGGAGUAAACAGGAUUAGAUACCCUGGUAGUCCACGCCCUAAACGAUGUCAACUGGUUGUUGGGUCUUAGCUGACUCAGUAACGAAGCUAACGCGUGAAGUUGACCGCCUGGGGAGUACGGCCGCAAGGUUGAAACUCAAAGGAAUUGACGGGGACCCGCACAAGCGGUGGAUGAUGUGGUUUAAUUCGAUGCAACGCGAAA